ensembl:lncRNA
ACGGCGGCCACCCCAAACACAGAAUGGAGGCGAAAGCUUGAUGCAAACUGCAUGAGGCUUUAUUGUAGUUUAACGAGCUAACCCCAUGUUAGCUCGGGUCUUUCACCCACCCACCAUGGCGGAAGGCUAGAAAAGACGGCUCCUUGGGUCUCCCAAAAGAUCUUAUAGGGCAGCUUAAGGGGAGUGUCUAGGGGUACGCACAGGCUUACGCACAGGCUCACGAUUGGUGUGCUUCCAGGCUUGGAGGGCUUGCCCUGUGUUGAUUGGUCAACUGGUUGUUAUGGCUCAUAGGCCCUCCCAGGGUGGUUGCUAUGCUCUCUAUGUCAUUGCUGUGCGCUUGUCUGUAAAGCACACCCAGGGUCGUAAAGCAUAGCGCCACCAGCUAACUUUCGAUUGGCUCCUUGUCACGAGACAGGCAUCUGACUUUCUAGUGACUAACUUCUGAUUGUUUCCUUGUCACGAGACAGGCAUCUGACUUUCUAGUGACUAACUUCUGAUUGUUUCCUUGUCACGAGGUAGGCAUCUGACUUUCUGGUUUCUAGGACAAGGUCAUAGAAGCACAUGUUCGACCAUUAUGGCUGCCAAAAGGGAAGCCGGUUCCUUCAUCUCAAACAAACAAACAAACAAUGGGCUCUGUAGUGUAUGCUUAUAAUCUUAGUGAUAGGGAGAAAGGGCCCAAAGGAACCCUGAAACCUCACUAGACAUCCAACCUAUCCUAGUUAGUGAACCCCAGUUCCUAAUGAGUCCCUGUUUGAGAAAACAAGGUGUACAGCUACUGAAAAAUGACACCUAAGCUUGACUGCUAGCCUCUGCACAUAGGGACUUGCACACACACAAAUAAAAACACACACCAUAUGCACACCUUUGCACACACACAGACAAACACACUUUUUAAAUGAAGAAAGAACAUUUUUAACAGAAAGAAAAUACAUUGGAAAAUAUGGUUGCAGAGGCUAGUGAAGUGAUUUAACAGGUAAGAGCACUUGUCACCAAGCCUGAGAGCCAAGUCCCAUCUCUAGAACCCACAUAGAGGAAGGAGAAAAGUGAUGUCCACAAGCUGUCCUCGGAUCUCUAUAGGCUCACAAUCUCAGAGGCUUUGGUUUCUCUAUCCUUAAACUUUAGGCCAGUAGUGAGGCAGAAUAAGUUAUGCCAUGGUGGAAACUCACAGUACAGGAAAGUUACCCACCUCAUGGCAGCCAGGGAACAGAAAGUGAGCUUAUAAUUAUGUCAAAAGUCCUCCCAAAGCCUUCAAGUUUUAGCUCCAAAAAUGGAGGUCAAGGCCUUUGGGAUCUAAUGACCACCCAAAUGCCCACUCUAAAACACUAUGACAUUGGGUGUCUGUUGUGGAAUAUUAGUUAAAGAUGUGUUACAGUUGUUUAUGCUGGGGAAUAUUAGUUUAAUGAUGCAAAGAUGUGUUGUGUUCUUUUAUGUUGCUUCUGUUUAAUUCCAUGAAGCUGUGUUACUUUGCCUGUCUAAAACACCUGAAUGGUCUAUUAAAGAGCUGAACAGCAGGAGAGAGAAGCAGGCAGAGUUGGAAGGCAGAGAGAAUAAAUAGAAGGCAAAAAAGAAAGAUUGAGGAAUGAGAAAAGGAGAGGACACCAGUAGCCAGCCACCCAGCUACACAGCAAGCCACUGAGUAAGAAGUAAAGAAAAGUAUAGAGAAUGGAGAAAAGUGAAAGCCCAGAAACAAUAGGUAGAUGGGAUUAAGAUCAAGUUUAGAAAAUCUGGCUAGAAACAAGCCAAGCUAAGGCCUGGCAUUCAUAAGUAAGAAUACAUCUCCAUGUUUUUAUUUGGGAGCUGGGUGUGGGCCCCCAAAAGAGUAAAGAGCAAGAAAAAAAACAGGGAUCCAAGCUUUCUACACUUGACCUCUUGGGAAACAUUUCAGAUCUAAUCCCUAGCAUCAACACAGUAAGAAUUGGGCCCUGGACAUCAGAGAGAAUAAAACCAAAGCACAAAAGAGCAAUGGGUGCUAGUGGUCAGGAGGCAGGGAGGAGUGGAAUAGGAGACCCAAGCAGGUGAGGUUCCCCUCCUUAUCAAAAGACAAUGAUAUGUUGCAACAGGAAAUGUGUUCAGUGGUCUGUGGGGAACCAGGAGUGAGCUGCACAGAGUAGAGAAGCCACAAUGGGAAAGCCCCUGGGGAAGUCUGUCAUACAACUGGAGCCUGAAUAUUUGUGUUCUGGGCCUUUUGGGGACACUCACAUCAGGAGGCUGUGGGGAAGGUCUAUAUAGCUGCCUUUUUUAUGACAGGAACAUAAGCAGAGGGGUCCUAUACAAUAAUCAAAUUCAUGCUGGAUGUGUUAGCCCAUUCCUAUAAUGUCAGCACUCCUUCAACCAACUCUCCCAAGACCUUGCUGUUUCAUGGAGAGCUUUUGUGUGAUUUUAAAGAAAGGGAGUUGCUUCCCUGGGAAGAUGCAGCUCACACCAAGUACAAUGCUAGCUGUACUUCAUCCUGCAUCCACCUGCUUGACCACACACUCUUGUGCAGUGCUGGCUGCACAACUGGAUGUGGCAACCUCAAUCAAAACCUAGCAAAGGGCUAUCCCAUUUAAAUUCACAAUAGCAAACUAAUGCACAGGAAGUUUGGGAAGCCUAUUUAUCACUCAUUUAAAAAAUAUGAUUCAAAAUUUUAGAAGUAGCGUUGAAAAGGAUAGAAAGUGUUUACAUGCUUCUUUAGAGAAUGAUUCCAGUUCUAUAGAGGUGAUAUACAACUCUUAAAAACAUAAAGGAGGCCUGGACAGAUACUGCUAGGAAAGCCCAUUAAAGCCAACUCAGCUGCCAUCAGGGCUCAGAUUCAGUGCUUUGAGUCACUCCACACUAACAUCUACUCCAUCUGUGAGCUCCUGGAAUAAGUGGAGGAGCCAGUCCUGGUAGAACCAGAUGUCACCACUCAACAGGGCCAGCCCUAGGCCUGCCAGCCAUCCCCUAGCAUGAAGCCACCACAGCUGCAACCUAUGCUGCCUGUCCUUCUGGGAAACAAGAGUGUGGGGCAGUGGCACUGCCCACAGGUUACAAGCACAAAAGUUGAGCCUGCAAGCCUUGGGCGAGCCAACGUCAGCAUCAGGACAAGGAGGUGUGCGGCAGCCUGUAGUUCAGAUGCCUUUCUAGCUUCGAGAUCACUCUGACUCUGCUCUACAGCAGGAUAUCUGAAACAAGUCUUGGUGAUGGUCCAGUAUUUAUGGUACAUCAAACCCCAGAAACCUUGAACCAGACCAAUGACUGGUUGCAAUGAAUACUUGCAUAUAUUAUGGGGAAGUCCUUCUGUGUAUGUGUUUUCUCUUAUUGGUUAAUGAAUAAAACACUGAUUGGCUGAUUGGCCAGGCAGGAAGUGAGAUAGCUGGGCAGAAUCAGAAUAUAAGUAGGGACAAACAGGAAAUCGCUCUCCUGCUCUUCUCUCCUCUGCGAACACUCUAAGCAGUCAACAUGUAGGACGCCAGAGGAAUAACAGGUUCCCAGACCUUUCUCCAGUAAGAUAAGGCCACGAGGGAAUACAUAGAUUAGUAGUUAUGGGUUAAGAAUAAGAAGCCUGAGUCACCAGCUGUUGGGUCCCAGGCCCCACAGUUGUUUGUCAGCCAAUAACCAUAGGUAUAUCUUCUUUUCCAGUCCUGGCUUACAGCCCCAGCCUUGCCUACUGGCAAGAAAAGAGAUUCUUACACCUGGGUUUUCUCCACUGUGCUGUAAGUCUGUACAUAUGGCUGUUCCCUCCCCAUAAAGGGGAUGGAGCUGUGAGGUGAAUAAUAAAAGCAGAGAUGCACAUAGCACAAGUGGCCUUGUCUUGUCUUUUAACUAAAGUCUCCAGGCUUUUGCCUGAUACUCAGACUUAGUUGUGGUUUGGGUGCCACAGCCAGCCAACAACUUGAACCCCAAUAUCUGUCUCUGGGUUUAUAUUUUUCAUACUACAAAUAUUCUAGGAAGCAUUUACCCCACUGGGAGAGAAUAAGACCACUACCAAUUUGAAGCAAGCUUUAAUUAAAUACUUGCCAGGAUGAUGGACUCUGGUCAGGCCUAUUCCUGGGUUCCCAGAAAAUGGCAACAAGUCACAUUUUGCAGAGGCUUAUAAAGGCAAACCCAUAAGGCUUCUGUAUUUUCUAUCAGGUCCAAUCAGGGGCAAGCAUACAUCCUGACAUACUUCCUGCCUAUGUAUCUCCUACCUACAUGGGAAUCAGGCACAUCCACUGCAGUCGGGUCAAACAAACUUGUUUAGAGGAAUAAAACCAUGUGGCUUCUUAUCCUAUAUAAACAGCUUCCAAAAUUUUAAACAGUAUCUUUCCUUGGGCUUUCAGGUUAGAGGCCUUUUUGUUUUAUGGACCUCUUAGGCACAGUAAUUAAAACUUAAAAUAUAGCCUUGGCUCUCACAAAAGAUGGCCUCCUAAACUGAGGGCACUCCCAAGAUAUCAAGGCUCUGUCUGAUCUUCUAGUAAGGAAGGUGAAAGGAGAGGAAAGAGUGAUUUGGGACACGGGGGAAGGAGGAGCAGUGAAGAAAGAAGAGAGAGCAAGGGUUGGGUUGGUCUCGUGGACUUAGAAAAGUUGCUUUUGUUAAACUGUCAACUCCUAAUUUGAGCCGAUAAGAGAAAUAAACAUAUGAGGAAAGCCUGGCACCUCUGCCUUCAUGUUACGUUUCAAGAUAAAGGCCGACUUGUCAUACAAUUCACCUGACAUGGAAACGUGCUCAUUGAGGUUGAUACUGCUGCUACUGGACUUUCAAAGUGUUGUCUUCUAAUACCCUUUCUUAUGUUUAUGACACUAGUUGGCUCAAUUGAACUGGAAUCAUUCUGUCUCUGAAGUAGCAUGGAAACACUUUCUUUUUCAAUACUAUUUCUAAAAUAUUAUCUUAUUUUUUUUAAUGUAUGACUUUUAAAAGAGCUGCGCCAACUUUCUGGGCAUUCAUUUGCUACUGUGAAUUUAAGUGUGUUGUCUCCUCUGCUUUGUUGCAGACCUUUGACUCUACAUAGGCAUGGUCAUCGCUCAAUAAGUACCUGCUGGGGGGUGGAGAGGUGGCUCAGUGGUUAAGAGCACUUGUUGCUCUCGUAGUGGGCCCAGGUUCAAUUCCCAGCACCCACAUGGUGGUUCUCAACUUCUGGAACUGCAGUUCCAGGAAAUCCGAUACCCUCUUCUGACAUUCUCAGGCACCAAACACAAAUGUUGUGUAUACAUGCAGUCAAAGCACUCACACACAAAUAAAUAAAUAAAUAAAUAAAUAAAUAAAUAAAUAAAUAGAUCUAAUUUUAAAAAUGUAAAGAAGUGUCUGCCUGACCUCUCUCAUCUUCCUCUCAAGCUGAAGGCAUGAAGAUAAACUGCUGUCCUAAACCUGCAGCCACUGUGGAUUUCAGGACAGCAUGAAAGCAUCCCACAUGCUGGAGCACCCGCAGACAUCCACUCUGCUGCAGCUGCCCCUUGGAACAUGAGCACUCACCUCCAGAAACAUCCCCUUUGGUCCCUCAAGCGCUAAGAACAACUUCACAGCCUGGUAGUGCUGCACGCCUUUAAUCCCAGGACUCUGGCAGAGGCAGGUGGAUCUCUGUGAGUCUGAGGCCAACCUGUUCUAGUUCCAGGACAGUGAGAGCUAUACAGAGAAACCUUGUCUCAAAAAACCAAACAAACAAACAAACAAACGAAAACCAUCUUCAGGCCACCUUGCAGAACCAGGAUGGAGAUAAAGAUCAUCAGAACACACUUAAGCAGGACUGCUUAGCUACACAAAUCUCUUGUCCCCUGCCCCAAUUCUUCCUCUAUUUAAACCUGAAACUCAUGAUGAAUCCAAAGAUGAUGAUUUUGAUACUGUGAUGCUACUGUUCUUUAUUCCUCUUCCCAAUGUAUUCAUUAAAUGUCCUCUCACAGUUAAUCAUCUCUGUGUGUGUGUGUGUGUGUGUCUG